AACGACGCUGGCGGCAGACCUAACACAUGCAAGUCGAGCGCGCAGCAAUGCGAGCGGCGGACGGGUUAGUAACGCGUGGGAACGUACCCUUUUCUACGGAAUAGCCUUGGGAAACUGAGAGUAAUACCGUAUACGCCCUUCGGGGGAAAGUUCCAACGGUAAAAGAUGAGCAUGCGUCCCAUUAGCUAGAUGGUAAGGUAACGGCUUACCAUGGCGACGAUGGGUAGGGGUCCUGAGAGGGAGAUCCCCCACACUGGUACUGAGACACGGACCAGACUCCUACGGGAGGCAGCAGUAAGGAAUAUUGGACAAUGGACGCAAGUCUGAUCCAGCCAUGCCGCGUGAAGGAUUAAGGUCCUCUGGAUUGUAAACUUCUUUUAUAAGGGACGAAAAAAGGUCUUUCUAGAUCGUCUGACGGUACCUUAUGAAUAAGCACCGGCUAACUCCGUG
rnacentral:rRNA from 1 species